GGGUUGUGAGGUUAAGCGACUAAGCGUACACGGUGGAUGCCCUGGCAGUCAGAGGCGAUGAAGGACGUGCUAAUCUGCGAUAAGCGUCGGUAAGGUGAUAUGAACCGUUAUAACCGGCGAUUUCCGAAUGGGGAAACCCAGUGUGUUUCGACACACUAUCAUUAACUGAAUCCAUAGGUUAACGAGGCGAACCGGGGGAACUGAAACAUCUAAGUACCCCGAGGAAAAGAAAUCAACCGAGAUUCCCCCAGUAGCGGCGAGCGAACGGGGAGCAGCCCAGAGUCUGAAUCAGCGUGUGUG
rnacentral:rRNA from 1 species